rnacentral:rRNA from 1 species
CAUGAAGCUGGAAUCGCUAGUAAUCGCGAAUCAGAAUGUCGCGGUGAAUACGUUCCCGGGUCUUGUACACACCGCCCGUCACACCAUGGGAGUCGGAAAUGCCCGAAGUCAGUGACCUAACCGAAAGGGAGGAACUGCCGAAGGUGGAGCCGGUAACUGGGGUGAAGUCGUAACAAGGUACC